AAUAACGUAAAUAAUAAACAUUGAAUUCAAAUUGAUGUUGUUAGAACGUUGGCAAAUCAGAGAAAUUACAUGAUUUAUCAAAUGAAUAACGCUGCAAACUCCUCAGUGGAAUCCCAGAUCUGUGGAAAUGAAAAUUUAAGUAUUUGGUAUAUUACAAUCAGUGGACUAAAAUGAAUGAAACGGCGAUUAUUCCUGUUCAGAUUAUUAUAAGAACCAUAUGAAAUCAGCUAUGGUGAAGAAACAUGUUACUAAACCUUUCACAAAACAUUCUCAGUAGGAGAACGCGAGAUCUAACAUGCAUGUUAACAAACCAUCUCAAGUUUGUCAUCACAGCAAAUCAUAGAUAACAUUCCACAAAAGAUUCAUGAGAAAUAAAAAACAGUGAACCCUCUGUAAGUUCGCUAACUUGAAGCCUACAACAAAGUGAUUCUUUUACAUUCAUGCUACUAAAUGAUAGGCCAGAUGUAUACCGAUAAGUCAGGAUGGAAAUCUCCGUAUCAACAAAGUCCAAAGAAUCAUUACUCGAAACAGUUUCAUAGGCCAGCCAUAUAUCAUCAUAUUGUAUAUAUUGUUAGUAUAUCAAAAAGUCAGUAGUGAAAGCUUUAGAUCGAACACACUCAGCAGUCUAACAACUAUUAACAACCAUCUAUUUACUAAGAAAAAUGUAGACUUCUCAAUAUACUAUAAGCAAGAAAAUUGAUAUUUUUUUUAGAAAUCUAAACACUAAGAAUUCAGAACCAGUGAGACUGCCAACAUUUUUCCUGAAUGAUCUGAACAAGUGUGUGUGGCCAAAAUGCAAGCAAGGUAACUUUCUUGUCAAGAACACCCGUACCAUACCAGACCUCAUUCAGGAUAUAUCACGUCAUUUAUGAGUCUUUGGCGAAUAUGGUUUCGAAGACAUUACCAAAGUGCAACCUCUGCUGAAUUUAAUGUGCAAUAAUGGUCCAUAAUCUGGUGAUUUACUCUAAUGUGCGUUGUUACUAACGCUUUAAUGUGCCAGCGUAUGGGUAUAGAUGAACAUUUAGUCGAAAUUAUAGCUAUUCCAGGUUACAAGAUCAAAAGAUUCAAAUCGUUUCUUUGAUGUGAGGAACUGGGAAAUUAUACCGGGUUUUUUUAUUAGUAGCGAUUAGCUAGUUAUCAAUUUAUCUUAUGGAAUGGGGAUUAGUGAUAAUAAACUGGGAGAUUUCGGGGUUGUUCAUUUGUUCAUUAUCAUUAUUUAUGUUUUGGGUAAUCUGCCGUAUUUGAUGUUUUUUUUUAUAGGAUGAAUUAUUACAAUGGACAAUCAACAGUCUACAGAAUGGAGAGAAUCGGGUAUUCCUCUAAGAACAUGGUCAAUUUUUAUGUAGACUAUGGUCCGGAAAAAACCCAGAUCUUGAUUUUUGCAAUUGACUGCCUCUGUCAUAUUUCUAAGAAAGUGAUAAUUGUUUAAUUGUUGUUUCCAUGGAGCGGAGUCUUUAUAGCACUUUUCAAGCCAUUGCUUCGCUUGAACGGUAUUUUUUCCCAUCAAGAAGCAGUGUAAAAUUAAAACAAGAAAUUGUUUUUGAUCCAUUGUUUUGAAAAUAACAAAAGUAGUUCACCCUUAGCACAGUAACUCAUAAACUUAUGAGUAGAAUGUUAUGAAACUUCAACAGCUUUCUUUUGAAGUUUAGUACUAACUGGAAAAGCGGUGAAUGCAAUGAGACUAACGCCAUCUAUGUGUCAGCCCAUAUAGUAAGUCUGAAAUCGUGAUAUUUGAUUAGGUUUAUUGAAAUUGAGUCUAUAUCAAAAUGCACAACAUAUGCUUUUGAAUAUCACACUUUGGCCUGCUUAUGGAUAAAGUUCUUUGAAGUGGUUAAAUUGGUAAACUUUGUUUCAGGAAUUGAAUCAAAUUUUUCAGGAGUCCCAUACCCAUAUCAUACGAUACCAAAAUUAUUGAUUGCAGAACGAAACUAUUGAAGCUACCAGUUAAUAUUGGAAUAGGAGACUUUCGAUCACCACCGUUUGGAUUUGAUGUUUUUUUCAGAAUAACUUCACUACAGAAAGCCGGCGUACAUGGCUAAUUGUGUCAUCUCGUGGUACAUUAUUAUCGGAUCCAAUGAUCACUUACAUCAUGGUGUGGGGGGUGAUCAUGUGUAGAAGCUUCUGGUGAUUCAAAUUAUGAAUCAAUGCCUUCUUAAGUGUAUUUUCAGCUCCUGGUUCCGCUACUGACCAGCACGCGUCCUAUCGUAACGCUAUUUAGUUCAAUGUCAGGUUGUCUAAAUGUGGGAACCGAAUUAAAAGUGAAAACAAUACACUUUGUUUGCUACCGUAAUUGUAUUAUUCCAGUUUCUCGAAAUUAAAGCACUGUGAUCAGUUCAUGGGUAAAGAA